AUACGGAGGACGCGAGCGUUAUCCGGGUUCAUUGGGUUUAAAGGGUGCGCAGGCGGCCGUGCAAGUCAGCGGUGAAAGCCCGGGGCCCAACCCCGGAAGUGCCGUUGAUACUGCAUGGCUUGAAUGCGGUCGAGGCGGGCGGAACGGGGCGUGUAGCGGUGAAAUGCGUAGAUAUGCCACAGAACGCCGGUAGCGGAGGCAGCUGGCCAGGCCUGCAUUGGCGCUCGGGAACGAAAGCGUGGGGAUCGAAAAGGAUUAGAUACCCUGGUAGUCCACGCCGUAAACGAUGGGCGCUCGUCGUCGGCGGCAGACAGUCGGCGGCCAAGCGAAAGCGAUAAGCGCCCCACCUGGGGAGUACGGUCGCAAGGCUGAAACUCAAAUGAAUUGACGGGG
rnacentral:rRNA from 1 species